rnacentral:rRNA from 1 species
AUUGAACGCUGGCGGCAUGCCUUACACAUGCAAGUCGAACGGCAGCACGGGUGCUUGCACCUGGCGGCGAGUGGCGAACGGGUGAGUAAUACAUCGGAACAUGUCCUGUAGUGGGGGAUAGCCCGGCGAAAGCCGGAUUAAUACCGCAUACGAUCCACGGAUGAAAGCGGGGGACCUUCGGGCCUCGCGCUAUAGGGUUGGCCGAUGGCUGAUUAGCUAGUUGGUGGGGUAAAGGCCUACCAAGGCGACGAUCAGUAGCUGGUCUGAGAGGACGACCAGCCACACUGGGACUGAGACACGGCCCAGACUCCUACGGGAGGCAGCAGUGGGGAAUUUUGGACAAUGGGCGAAAGCCUGAUCCAGCAAUGCCGCGUGUGUGAAGAAGGCCUUCGGGUUGUAAAGCACUUUUGUCCGGAAAGAAAUCCUUGGCUCUAAUACAGUCGGGGGAUGACGGUACCGGAAGAAUAAGCACCGGCUAACUACGU